rnacentral:rRNA from 1 species
UACGAAGGGUGCAAACGUUGCUCGGAAUUAUUGGGCGUAAAGCGCACGUAGGCGGCAUUGCAAGUCGGAUGUGAAAUCCCUCGGCUUAACCAAGGAAGUGCAUCCGAAACUGCAGUGCUUGAGUACUUAAGAGGAUCGCGGAAUUUCCGGUGUAGCGGUGAAAUGCGUAGAUAUCGGAAGGAACAUCAGUGGCGAAAGCGGCUUCCUGGACCAGCACCGACGUUCAGGCACGAAGCGUGGGGAGCAAACAGGAUUG